rnacentral:rRNA from 1 species
ACGGGAGGCAGCAGUGGGGGAUAUUGCGCAAUGGGGGAAACCCUGACGCAGCAACGCCGUGUGAAGGAAGAAGGCUUUAGGGUUGUAAACUUCUUUGAUUAGGGACGAAAAAAAUGACGGUACCUAAAGAACAAGCCACGGCUAACUACGUGCCAGCAGCCGCGGUAAUACGUAGGUGGCAAGCGUUGUCCGGAAUAACUGGGUGUAAAGGGCGAGUAGGUGGGACAUUAAGUCAGAUGUGAAAUUUAGGGGCUCAACUUCUAAGCUGCAUCUGAAACUAAAGUUCUUGAGUGCUGGAGAGGAAAGCGGAAUUCCUAGUGUAGCGGUGAAAUGCGUAGAUAUUAGGAGGAACACCAGUGGCGAAGGCGGCUUUCUGGACAGUAACUGACACUGAGGCGCGAAAGCGUGGGGAGCAAACAGGAUUAGAUACCCUGGUA